rnacentral:rRNA from 1 species
UACGAAGGGGGCUAGCGUUGCUCGGAAUCACUGGGCGUAAAGGGUGCGUAGGCGGGUCUUUUAAGUCAGGGGUGAAAUCCUGGAGCUCAACUCCAGAACUGCCUUUGAUACUGAGGAUCUUGAGUUCGGGAGAGGUGAGUGGAACUGCGAGUGUAGAGGUGAAAUUCGUAGAUAUUCGCAGGAACACCAGUGGCGAAGGCGGCUCACUGGCCCGAUACUGACGCUGAGGCACGAAAGCGUGGGGAGCAAACAGG